CUUUCAGAGCUUCGCAAUUCCAGCUUCUUGAACUCUCAUCUUGGGCAAAAGGACUCGGCCAAAAUAUGAAGAUCUUUGUCUUUACCUUUAUCGUGGCUCUCAUGGUUGCCAUGAUUAGUGCUGAUUCUUCAUCUGAAGAGAAACGUUACCGUAGAAACAGAUUCGAUGGAGGGUAUUAUCCAUACCCACAGUAUCCACAGUAUCCACAGUAUCCACCCAAUUAUCCAUAUCCCUAUCCAUAUCCAUAUCCCUAUGCAGGAAAGUAAUAAUCACAGGACAGAUGACAGAGGCUUGGUGAGAAGUCUUCUUUGCUCUCUCCUUAUGAUGAUUUUUCUUACUCAAAAACCCUUUGACACAUCUAGCAACAUAAUAACCUGCUUACAAUAAAUACAUCCAAAGUGCUUCAGAAAGCAUAUUUUAUCAAACAAUUUAAAAAGUAGAGAGUAUUUGUAUUCUCUCAGGCAUUAGAUUGGAAUUUAAAAACAAACUGGCCAAUAAAUAAUUUUUCUGUGUACAAAUUCCAGCUUAAAAAAAAUAGUAUUACAUGAACAACAAUUUCUGGAGAUCAAUGAUCAAUAGUUGCAACAUAGUAGUAAUGACAUUCUCUGGACUAUCUGAUGGUUUUCUGUUUUACU